AUUGUGCGUCCUACAGAUUCCUUCAUAGUAGAAUUAGUUUCCUACCUUGAAGAGAAUAGAGAAAUGAAAGAACAAGUUGGGCUUAGAAGAGAGAAAUGAGGGAGCAAGUCCUAGAUCGCUUGCUGACAAUAGCAAUUCACAUGAAUACUUAGCAAACAGUUUCAAUCAUUAGAUAACAACUUAAGAAAACAUUUACCAGAUUGGCUGGCGCCGCGGCUCACAGGGGUAAUCCUCUGCCUUGCAGUGCCGACACACCGGGUUCUAGUCCCAGUCGAGGUGCCGGAUUCUGUCCCGGUUGCCCCUCUUCCAGGCCAGCUCUCUGCUGUGGCCAGGGAAUGCAGUGGAGGAUGGCCCAAGUGCUUGGGCCCUGCACCCCAUGGGAGACCAGAAGAAGCACCUGGCUCCUGCCAUCGGAUCAGCGCGGUGCGCCGGCCGCAGUGGCCAUUGGAGGGUGAACCAACGGCAAACAAAGACCUUUCUAUCUGUCUCUCUCUCUCACUAUCCAAUCUGCCUGUCAAAAAAAAAAAUUAAAAUGUAACACCACCUCACAUCUUGACAGUACUUCUAACAUAAUCCAAAUAGCCUAAUUAGUUGGUGUCUCUGUGUCUUUGACAGUUUCCAGGGGCCCAUCUGGAAAUUGUCAAAGUCUAGAUUUUUGAAAUUUUGAUUUUUUGAAUGCCUGUCAAGGAUGCCAAGAAGGCUCAAAAUCCAAAAUAUCUCGUUUACAUAGGAUCCCUUAACAUCGUGACAUAAUAUAGACCAAAUUUGAUGAGUUACAAGGUUAUUAUUCAAAUGUUUUAGAAUAAGCAUAUAUUUAAUAACCCAUAGCUCUUAAUAAAAAACUCAUCUGUUUUGAAACAAUUAGAAUUUAACAGAGACAUUAAGAGAACAUAAUAGACUAGUUUAACUGCUUUAUCAGAGGUUCAGAUUCUAUGUCUUAGGAAAAUAAUAGCUUUUGUGUCCAAAAUUUCUUUCUUUCAUAACAUUCUGUGACUUCCACAUACCCUCUUCAACUUACUUGAAAUGUUACAUCAUUUCUAUUCCAGUCUAGAGUAAACUAGGCAUCAGGAUGAAGUAAUUCUUUUUUAUUUUUUGGAUUUUGAACCGCUUUUAUUGUUAUUCUAAAGAAAAUUUUCUACAAAAUUCACAGACAUAAGGAUAAAGCUGAUAAAAUUAUGAGGAAAAAGAAUUAUUAAUGGUGACUCAAUAUUCUGAGUCACAAAAGGUACAAAAUUGCAUAACUUUAACAGGUAUUUGUAAUAUGCUGAUUCCCACUGUCCCAGCACCAUUUAUCUGUUGCUCUCCAUUGGAUUUAUCUGUUGCUUUCUCAUUGGAUUAUCAUGUUACCGUAGCUACUGUAGGUGACUAGCUAGUGUUCCUAGUGUCCCAGUACACUAGGUACAAGAGAUAUCCUGACAAUGAAAGGCGUCAGAUCCUCCCGCACUGAGAAGGAGGUGUUCCGUGGAUAUGAGAUCCUCGGGAUCAUUGGCAAGGGCAGCUUUGGCCAGGUGAAGCUGGCCCUCCAUCUGGAGAGCAGAACCAAGGGGGCUGUGGAGAUCAUUGCCAGACAUGACGGGGAUUCUUCCAAGUUCCUGCAAGCUUGGGUAGAAGCAUAAAUUAUGCAUUCUCUGCAUCACCCUAACAUUAUAAAGCUGAUACAGGUAGACUACACAGCAGAUAGAGCCUGUCUUUUCAUUGGGUAUUUUAGCAGGGUGGGGGUGGACCUUGAAAAGUAUGCCGAGGUGUGCAGCCACCUUCAUGAAGGAAAAGCAUGUUGGUACUUCAUUCAGACAUUAGCAGCAGUGCAGUACUGCCGCACGCAACACAUUGUUCACAGAGACUUAAAAUUGGAAAAUCUCCUUCUGGGCUGAUCCGUUAAGCUAAUUGACUUGGGCUUUAGCCAAAAACUGACUGAAGGCCAACAACUAAAGUCAUUGUGUGGGACACUUGAAUAUUAUGCCCCAGAAGUAUUCCUAGAUAAGGAGUUUGAUGGGUAUAAAGCUGACAUGUGGAGCCUGGGCUUGGUCCUGUGCACCAUAGCAACAGGUGGCUGCCCUUUGAAGGGGAGAGCUUUGGGCACCUGAAGCUGGCUCGUAACCUAAUCCCCUCCUAUGUAAGUGAGGAACUGGAGAGAUGCCGGAUUGGUUAAUGACUUUUGACCCUGCUGAGAGGCCCACACAGUGGCAGAUGCUAUGGGGCACAAGUGGCUCAGCAUGGAGCAGAAAAAGGACCCAAAGCAAGUGACAUCACACUUUGCAGUCUCUGAGUUCUCCCGAGAACCAGGAAAUCGAUGAAGCUAUGGAGAACCUGGUGUCUCUGGAGGGCCUAAAGAACAGGACUGCCCCAUUCCCCUCCCCCACAAUGCUGGGGAAAAUACCAGCCAAAGGCUUACAGCAGAGAUGUAGAAAAUCAAACUGACAUGGGGAUCCUGAAAGUCAGAAAUACCUGCCAGGCCCUGUCUUCCAGCUGGGCUGUGAGGAGGAGGAUGGCUGCUUGUCCCCUGCUCUGAGCUGUGGGAAAUCCCAGCCAAAGACUUACAGCACACAAGGAGAAAACGAAAUUUACAUGGGGUUCCUAGGUCCUUCCAAAAUUGCUGGAGGUCAGCAGUACCUGCCAGUCCUUGUCUUCCAGCUGGGCCGUGAGGAGGAGGAUGGCUGCUGGUCCCCUGUGCUGGGCUGUGGGAAAUCCCAAGAGAGCUUCAGUGGAGCAGCAAGAACUGAGUUCACUCAAGGGGAGCUUCUAGGAUCUGCUCAGUACGCUGAGGCUCAAAACUACCUGUGGAGCUGGGCUUCCAGCUGAUCCAUAAAGCAGUCUCCCUGACGCCCAGUCUUCAGGCCAGUGCUGUGUCCCCAGUGCUGCCUGAUGGUGACCAGUCAUCAGGGCUAAAUGCCUGCCCUGGAGCCCACAGGAUGGACAGUUCCCCACCUGGUCUGAUGAGGAGCCACACUUCCUGGCCAGUCCUCAGGUACAAGAGCCCCGUUACCUCUGUGUCCAGUCUCAACACCAGCAGCAGUGAAGCCCGCAGUUCAGAUAGUCCUCAACCUGCAUAAGGAGGAGGACCUACACUCCCAGGCCUCAGGCACAACAGCCCCGUGUCCUCCAUACCCACUCUCAGCACCAGCAGCAGUGAGGCUGACAGGACAGAUGGUCCCCAACCUGCUGUGAGGAGGAAGACCUACAUUCCCUGGCCAGUCCUCAGGUACAACAGCCCUGUGUCCUCCAAGCUGGAAAUAUUGCUGACUUAAAAGGCAGAUUUGAAACUGAGGACUGUUGGUGAACAACAAUUGUUUGUGCUGCCACCCAGGAUACUGAUUGAACCUUCUGCUUGUCGACAGCAGGACACGAAGGCUCAGUAUCUGUAGAAGCAGUGUCCCCAUCUCUUACUGGGGCACUUCUUCAUCUGAGGAUGUCAGAAGAGAACCUCAAAAAGCUGGCAAAGAGCCGGCGCCGUGGCUUAUUAGGCUAAUCCUCCGCCUUGCGGCGCCGGCACACUGGGUUCUAGUCCCGGUCGGGGCACCGGAUUCUGUCCCGGUUGCCCCUCUUCCAGGCCAGCUCUCUGCUGUGGCCAGGGAGUGCAGUGGAGGAUGGCCCAAGUGCUUGGGCCCUGCACCCCAUGGGAGACCAGAAGAAGCACCUGGCUCCUGCCAUCGGAUCAGCGCGGUGCGCCGGCCGCAGCGGCCAUUGGAGGGUGAACCAACGGCAAAAAAAGGAAGACCUUUCUCUCUGUCUCUCUCUCACUGUCCACACUCUGCCUGUCCAAAAAAAAAAAAAAGCUGACGAAGGAAAUGCGGGUGCAGAGGGCCUGAAUUUGCUAACUACAAGUCAGAAAAUGACUCCUGAAUCAGAGGUUUUAGAAAAUAAAGUUUCCUCAGAACAGUUAAAAGCCUCUCAUCAGAAUUGUGAAUAUCAUUUUCAAGAGACUUCAGAAAGGUAUAACUAAGAUACUUAUGUAAUGAGUUUUCUGCUUGUUCAUAUUCAGAACUGGCUUUGUGAAUAAUGACAGUGGACGAUGGCUCUCAAAAAAAAAAAAAAAAAAAAAGACUCAGCUCUGGCCUAAUGCUGACCAGGGUGAGCACUGUGAUGGCAGCUGGGGACAAGUUCUCAAACAGGUAAACACCUGUAAGAAUCUGAAAAUGACCCCACUCCUGGGACAAAAUGAGGACAGAAGAUUCGUUGCAGGAUCCACAGCCUCCCCAGGGCCAGGCAGCGGCUCACUCCUUCUCUUCCCCAGGCCCCUCCAUGGUGACUCUGCAACCAAGGAGGGGGGUGCUGGUGAGAGGCCAUGGACACUCGGGGACUGGUGGAGCCAGGGCAGCCCUCUGGUGUUCUGUGUGCUGAGGAAGCGCAUGACCCUGCAGCGAUGGGGGCAGCACAUGAGGCAGAAUCCCAGCUCGUCGAUCUGCAGCCUCCAGUUCUGUAACUGCUCACACUCCGCAAUGAUGUGUGCUGCCUGCUGGGCCAGCCAGACCUCCAGGGCUCACAGCUCCUUGAAGCUGAAAGGCAAAAAUCCCGUCACAACACAGCCCCAAAGAACCACAGGGAACUGCUCCCCACAGUUCCUGUCCAACAGAUCAGAGGGAUCAGCCCCACAGGCAGUGCCUGAUGCCAAGGUCCCUGAAUGGUGAACAGUGCAGAGGAUAGGGACAAUGAAUAGCCCACCCCACUUCCCUAGGAAGGUCACUCUUCAUCCUCCUUGGCCAUCCAGCUGUCCUCCCAUAACCAUCACUGCACCUGUGCAGAAGGCUCCCUGGGAACCCACCAGGCAUGUGGUUACCCCAUACCUGAAUUCAGUGCUCACCAUAUUGCCUGCCCAGACAUCCGUGUCCUGACACAGGUUCACACCCAGGGCACACAGGCACCCACGCUCCAGGUUCACUCUGAGGAAGCAACGGCAUGACUAUAUCCAUGAUCAGCACACAAUUGGGCACCACUGAAGACUCAGCCAGCAUCACCCUCAGCAGCAGCCCAGAGAGGCCUGGGCCACCCACCUGGAAGCAAAUGUCCCCAAGUCAGCAGGACACGCAGAGCUGGAUCCACCCAGCUCUGCCAAACAUGCUUCCUGUCUAGAAAAUGAUCCCCAGGUCAGGCAGUUACUGGACACAGUGGUCCUCUAACUGCCACAGAACACGGAAAGAGGGGGUUCUGGGUAAUGGAAGCAUUGUGGAGUUCUAGCAGCCCUGUCCCAGUGGUGCCCUCCCAGGUCAGGAGGGCCGAGUGUCAGCCUCCUCAACCUCAGAAUAAACAAAAUCCCCUACAGGGGGCUGCUGUGGUCUUUCCAAGGCUCAGAAAGAGGGAAGAACUGUGGCAAAUGUGCCAGGACCUAGCUUUGCCACCACCCUCUGUCACCUGCUUGAUAAAUCCCAACCUUCUUCAGAGCUCUACCUGUAACCUGUCCUCUUCCUCCAAUACACCUCUAUUUUGUAACAAUGUAUUAUUAUUAUUAUUAUUAUUAUUUGUUUUAUUUGUAAAUCAGAGCAAGAGAGAAAAAGAGGGAGAGAGAUUUUUCUAAUCUCUGGUUUACUCCUCAAAUGGCUGCGACAGCUAGGUCUCAGCCAGGCAUGCUGUACUCUUACAUGGGUGGCAGGGACUCAAGAACAUGGAAUAUCCUCUGCUACCUUCCCAGUCACAUUAGCUGGGAGCUGAAUUGGAAGAGGAGCAGCCAGGAUUCAAACCAGCCCUCCAGUAUGGGAUGCCUGUUUCCCAAGCAGUAGUUUAAUCUGCUAUGCCAUUGCUACCCCUUGUAACAACUUUCAAAGCCUUGGCAUUUUGAAUUUCAGUUAGUGCAAUGAGUCCCCCCCCACACUCCUCACCCAGCUCCCUGAGUUCAGUCUGUGCGCACCCCUGUAGUAAGCAGAACUGCCAUGGCAACAAACUUCUGACAGAGGACAAGUCUCAGCCCUGCUGAUCCAUUCUGUGUCCUCCCACUCUGCUCCUGUCCUGUUCUCUGUGGUGCUGUCAGCAUUGGUCACCAGAGAGUUUUCCCAGGAUGACAGAGAAGGGAGCAGAUGGCUGAGCAUGGACUUCUUUGUGUCCUGUGUCAGCCCCACCUAGUCUGUCUGUGGGAGGAACUGGGCCUCUACCCUGGGUGCAGAUGAGAGGUUAAGAGACGAAACACUGUGAUUUCAGCACAGGUAUUUGAGACACAUGCAGGUAACAAUGAAGCCAAUGCUGAUAAUAAUGGCAUGGCAAGUGUGGGGGAGGGGUCAGGAGCACCUGGAAGAGCUGGGUGCUGGGGUUACUACCAGGGAAUGCUAGGGAUCCCUGCCCCAGGAGCAGCUCAGACUCCCCUAGUGCCGUGUUCCUCCAGAUCACCUCUGGCCCCUGCAGCAGUGUGGAGAACCUGCUGGGUUUGGUCCAGCUUUGUGGGCUUGCUCCUGCUGCAUUCCAGCGGCUUCUGCUCUUCCCAAUGCAGCAGAGCCUGAACUGCACUCCCUUGUGGAGUGAGCAUGUGUGAAUCUGUGUGUGUGUGUGUGUGUGUGUAAGCGUAUAUGUAUGACCUAGCUCUGUGGUUUCUGCUCCAGCUGGGCCUGGCUGCUCCACACAUGAGCAUACAAGUCCUUGUCACUAUCACCAGUGGCAUGAGUCUGGCAUCAGAGUUGCUGUGGAUGCUCCCCAAUUCCCCACUACACUUCCCUGGGACAUUCUAGGGGUACAGAUGGAGGCUGGCAGAGUUCUCAGCUCCAUGAUGAAGCUCAACCUCAGAUGGGAGUGGUGCAGGUAGUGUGUGAGGUGUGCCUGACUUGGUCCUGCUGAUGUAAUCUAGGGUUAAGGCUGUUUAGGAGGAAGGUGGUCGGACUCACCUGAGGAAGGUUACUUCUGUUCUUUGGGAUGUCAGCUUGUGCAUUUGGGGGGUCCCAAUCUGUGUUUCUCCACCGCUGCCAUCUGUCUGAGCCCUGCAGAAGAAAUGAAAGUGAGUCAGGUAAUGUUUCACUCCAGCCUUUGGCACCAUAACCCCAGGCCACCCUUACCUGCUCUUCAAACCUGGCCCUGUCAUUGAUAACCCCAGACUCGUUUGUGUCCUGGAAUCAGGCACACGGCCCCUCAGGGAUGUGAGGUAGCACCUGAUUCUCACUAGAAGGCCUGCUCCUUUGACCGACAGUUGUUCAGGCAUCACCAAGGAUGCUCUUAGAUCUGGAUCUCUCAAGUCUCCAUUCCAACACCCUCCUGCCUGUCAUCUCCUCUUGGCACAGCCUCUUUUUGCUCACCUGCUGUAACCACUAACCUUUCCCUGACACAGGGACCACAGUGUCCAGAGACCCUACGGAAUGAAUGUUCUCCGUGCCACAUUCUGUUUAGGAUGCACCAUCAGCUUCCUCAUUCCACAGACACCCACCUGUGUCCAUGAGCCUACCCAUGUGCCCCAUUUACUCCCUUCUCUGCCCCAUCCUGAGUUCCCAAAGAGCACUUUCUGCCCCUUCUAGAAAGUUCUCUUCAGGAGAGUGUGUGGUGAAGCAUCCUGGAACCCAGGGAAACUGCAGAGCCAUCAUAUCCACCUGCUUCGGGUUCUUUUUGACACUUAAUGUGUGCAGCUACCACUCACUGUGUUUAUCUCCUUACUUCUCUAAAGUCAAGGGUAAUGUCUUUCGGGUUUGCAUCUUAGUGCCUGAUGCAUGGGCGAAGCCUAAUAAGUAAAACAGAUUGAAACAUGUACGAUUCACAAACACGCUGGUGUCGAGUGCCAUUUUAGGCAAUAAAGAUUCCUAGGUUUGAAGUGCAAGCAUUUCUCACAGCUCUUGCUCCAAAGCUGUCAGCAGCUGGGUCCAAGUGUGAGAAGAGUUGCUGAACUGUGCCUUCCACACCCAGACCACUUGCUCAAUGUCAGUGUGUUUACUGUUAAAAUGUUCAUGCUACCCAAAGUGAUUUACAGAUGCAGUAUAAUCCCUGUUAGUAUAUCAGGAGCAUUUUCCAAAAGGUAGAAAAACGCCCUACUUGAAUAUGGAGAGGUGAAGUAAUCUUGAGUGAAAAGUGGUAGGGACUAUCUGGCUUUAAAAUACUCUACAAAGCUCUGGUUAUAAAAACAGCAGGGUAUUGUCAUAAAAGCACAUACAACAAAAGAGCAGGGGUCAACAUUGUGUUGCAGUGGGUUAAGCUGCUGCCUGCAAAGCCAGCAUCCCAUAUGGCUGCCAGUUCAAAUCCCAGAUGUUCCACUUCUGUUUCAGGUCCCUGCUAAUGUUCCUAAUCCUUGGGCUCCUGCACGCACCUAGGAGACCCAGAUGGAGUCUCGUGGCUUUGGCCUGGCUCAGUCCUGGAUGUUGUGGCCAUUUGGGGAGUGAACCAGCGGAUUAAAGAUCCCUCCUCCCUUUUCUUCUCUCUCCCCCCUCCCCCUCCUUCUAAUAAAAGAAAUCUAAAGGAACAGAGAGCCUAGAAAUAAACCCACAUAUUUAUAGCCAUGUGACCUUUGCCAGGGUGCUUAGAAUGUACUUUGGCAAAACAAUAGUCUCUUCAGUGAAAAUCAUUUGGGAAAACUGGGUAUCACAUUCAUCAGAAGAAAUUAGAUGCUAUCUCUCAACAUGUACAUAAAUAAACUACCAUGGAUCAAAGAUCUAAAUUUAAGACCUGAAGCUAAUGAGCUAGUAAAAACAAACACAGAGGAAAUUCUUCACUACAUUGGAAUGGGCACCCAUUAUUUUCAUCAGACCCCAAAAGCAUAGGAAAGGAAGCAAACAUAGUUGAAUGGGAUUUCAUCAAAUUAAAAAACUUCUGUAUUCCAAAGGAAGCAAAGACUAGGGCGAAGAGACAACUUACAGAGUGGAGGAAAUAUUUGCAAGGUAUACUUUGAGAAUGGAUUAGUAAUGCUAUGUAAGAAACAAAUAAAUAGCAAAAAUAACAUGAUUCUAUUAUAAUAGAAUGCACAGAUUAAGCAGAAGUUAUUUCAAGGAAGACAGAAGUGACCAUCAGGGAUAUGAAAAAGUGUUCAACAUCACAUCAUCAGGGUGAUAGAGAUCAAAUCCACAGUAAGAUAUCAAUCACCGACACUCCGGUUAUCUCGGCUGUCAUCAAAAAGACAAAAGAUAAGGGUUCCAUGUUAUAGCUCUACACAGGAGAUAGAAGUGGUGUUCUGUUUCACAGUAGGGUGACUACAGAUAAUGUACUGUCCAUUAAAAAUAUUAGAAGAUAGGAUUGUGAAUAUUUUCAGCAUACAAAAUGAAACCUGUUUGAGGAGAUAGAUUUGGUUAACCUGAUUUGAACCUGUGUAAAAACACUAUCUACGUAUCUCAAAAUACAACAUAGUACUCUAUAAAUAUGUAUAACUUUUGCCUGUUGGUUAAAAUUUUAAAAGUAUACAAAUAAUAAAAAGCCAAAGAAAAAGAGAAAAAUUAUCCCAAAGGAAGUAAGUUCAAAUAACAAUGAUCAUAAUGGACACCAUACAGUAGAAUAAUUAACAAUUUGCAAAGUUACUUGAAAUAAAUCAACAAAAUAUUAACACUAGCAGUGGAAAAGCUACUAUUUUAUUUAUUCAUCAUAUAUUAGAAUUAUAUAAGAGAAAUUAAGAAAAAUUCAGUGUAUUAAGGUAGGCCUUCAGGAUGGUAUUUCUAUGAGAAAGAAAGAAAUGAAAAUGAAAUAAAAUAAUUUACAAAAGAAUUAAAAAUCAUAAAAUACUUGAGAAUUUUAAAAAAAGAUUUAUUUAUUUAUCUGAAAGGCAGAGUUACAGAGAGGCAGAGGAAGAAGCUCCACUGAUCUGAAGCCAGGAGCCAAGAACUUCUCCCAGGUCUCCUAUGCAGGUGCUAGGGCCCAAGGACUUGGGCCAUCUUCUACUGCUUUUCCAGGCCAUAGCAGAGAACUGGAUUGGAAGAGCAGCAGCUGGGACUCGAAACGACACCCAAAUGGGAUGCUUUACCUGCUAUGCCACAGUGUCGGCCCUGGGAAAAAAUAAAAGACAUGUAAUACCCCUAUGCUAAGAACAAAAUAGUACCGUGAGAAUUUAAAGAAGAUCCAGUUGAAUUGGAGAGACAUAUGUUUAUGAUUUUAAAAAAACUGGUUUUGUGAUAUACAUUCUCCAAAAUUGAUUUUAAAAUACAUAGAAAUGCCAUCAAAUCCUUACAACUGUGUGUGUGCGCGUUCAUGCGAAAAUCCAUCUGCUAAUUGAAAAUGUAUUUGAAAAUGCAUAAUGCAUCAAAUAAGCAGAUUUUGAAAAAGAAAAAAUAUGGUGAUGUUAAACUACUGGUAUCAAAACUUACAAUAGAGCUGCACUAAUACAAAUCUAUGAGCAAAGGAAGAGAUGAAGGAGUCAAGAAAGAGACACAAGCAUGCAGGGCGUGAGAUUUCUGGUCAUAUGCUUAGGGGAACCUAGGCCUGGUUCCUGGGUACCUGCUGGGCCCAAGUUCUAAUGGGUUUCCAUGUCCACAGGGCCAGAGUCUCUGAGAGCAGCUCUUUGUGACAACCUCAGAGCAGCUGGAAGAACCUUCUGGGAAAUUCUUAGCUGUGAGGAGACAAAAAUGCAUUCUGUUAUUUAUUUGUUUACCGGACUGAGCCACAGUAUUUCUUCAUUUCUUUGAAAAAAAUUUUUUUUUCUCAGAACUAGACAGUUGGGGAAUUAAAAUGUGGUAACCAUGGAAACUAGAGUCCUUGGCAUCUCAAAAUUACUUUAGGUUGUAGUUCAUUUCUAUAGUGAGCUUAUCAAAAUAUUUUUUAAAGUCUUUAACUCCUGUGACGUGUGGUUGCUGAACUUUUUGUAGCAUUAUCUAUGGUCAUAGUGUUACUGAUAUUUUCUUAAACAGCAAACUGUUACAAACACUCCUUUAAACACGGACAUUUCUGGUGGAUGUUAUGGUCACAUUAUGAUAAAGAGUUUUCCCAGAGUUGAUUCUGAUCACGGUUUCUAACUUACUGGUUGCUCCAAUGAAAUGACAUGUCCAUGGAUCUUCCUAGAUCAAUAUUCUAUAUGGGAUCUUCAGUUCAUUUUAUGAACUUAAGGGAAGAUAAUUCUUUACUUAUGGCCUGUGAAAUAGAAAAGUUUUACUCACGAAAAUUUAGGAAGUUUGUUACAGAUUACAUACGAUUUUGAUAUUAAAAGCAAUGUGUAAUGGAACCCAACAGGAAAUUUUAAUCAGGAGUAUAUAAAUUGAUAGAACUUAUGAAUUUUAAGCAUAUUAAAUCUGCAAUAUGGAAAAUGGAAUACAGACGGUUAAGGGUAUAAUAUGUCAGGUUCUAAUAAGAGAUACAUUAAUGCAAGACUAUUAAAUGAAUCAGGAGCGUUGAAUUUAUUAUUUUCCUGUGUUCCCGAAGAGAGAUUGUUGUGUAUCAACUGCAGAAAGUUGAUAUGGAGAAGUGGAUGGAAUUGAAAUCAGGUUUGGAUGUAAAGUCAAUAAAACUAUUAACUAAUCGAGCACCUAGGUUUAUUCAAAUGUGAUGGAUGGAUAAGUUGUGUGUGUGUGUGUGUGUGGAGAGAGAGAGAGAGCGAGCGCUGAGAGGGAGAGGAAGGGUGUAUAUAGAGAGAGACACAGGCACCAAGAGCUGGAACAGGUAAGUUUGGUGCUUCCUAUUAGACAUACUUGAGCAUGUCGUGUAGGGAAGUGAAUUUAGAAGACAAACUGAAUAUAAGUGAUUUCAGCUUAGGGAGAGAUGGAUAUCCAGAUUUUAUCAGCCUCCCGAUGGUCUCUAAAGUUGGCAGACUGAGGGAUAUCCCCCAGGAUGCAAGUGUUGAUCGAGGAGACUUGUUUUGCCCUUUCCUGCAACAGAUCCAAGACACAAAAAUCAGUUACUUCUUAUAUCUUCCAGCACACGUGUCACUCCUGAGGGUAAGUCUUCCCUGAUUUUCCUGAUUUUUGCCCAAUCAGUGUUAACGUGUCCGUCUCUAAGUCCCCUGUAGACCACAAUUCAUGUCUUUGCACUGCACUCAUAGUACUGAUUGAUUCAUACAGAGAUGUUUCCAUAGCAGUCUUCCCCACACCUCUGUGGGCUUCCCAUGGGUGCUCAUGCACUGCUAGUUCCAGGAAUUCUGGUGUUUUCUGAGUGCUAAGGCUCAGCUCAGUGUUGUAUUUAGGGGGAAGAGAGACCUGAUCCAUCCCUGUGAGUUACUGCCCAAUCCUGGAGACUCUCUAUAGAGAGACUGGGAGAUGAUUACCAUGAGAUCAAGAAGAGAAUCGUGUAGGACCUUGCCAUGUUGAUUGACCCGUAUCCUUGACAUAUUCCCAUGCCUUUUGCUCACAAUGUGCAGUGGAUUCUUUAACAGCACAAUCUGUUUUGGCAGAAGUAGCCUUGGCUUGGGGACCUUGGGUGUCCAUUAGUGGCAGGCAUGGAUCAGAAGAACCCAGACCUCCUGACCUCCAGUCUAACGUCCACACAACGAAGAUGCCAAAAUUGACAUAGGUGGGUGCCGAGUGCUGCUGUAGAUCCUUGGAAAAAGGAGGUGAACCGUGAAGAAGCACAACUGCAGGAAGAGCGGUCUCGCUGGUGGAGGAGGCAUGGCAGUAGGUUCUCCAGAGUCCACAGGGUCAUCCAUCCUGGCCGGCAGGUGAGUCGCUGCCCUUGGCCACCUCCAAUCAAGUGCUCAUCAAGUUCGGUGCCAAAGGCCAAGUACCAGCCAGAGGCUUCCACUUUGUCUGCCAAGCUGUGGACCUGAGCAGCUGUCCAGAACCCGCUGUGCCCAGUAACGGGGUGAAGAGCAGCGAGCGCUACCUGAUGAAUGAUGUGGUCUCUUUCCAGUGUGAGCUGGGCUGUGCCCUCCAGUGCAGUGUGGGAGAGCAGUGGAGGAGAUGGAGGGGGUCAUCCUGAGCUCCAGCUUCCUGCGCAACUACCCCAAUAACAUGGAC